AUGGUCAAUCAGAUGUUCAUGUGUGUGUGUGUGUUUGUGUGUGUUUUGAUGUUCUGUCUCCACAGGCUCAGCUAUUUGCUAAAAGAGAGCAUGAAAAUGUGGUGCAGGUGCUGGAGGCAAAAGUGCGCGAGCUGGAGGACAAAUGCCGCAGUCAGAGUCAGCAGUUCGGGAUGCUGUCGCAGGAGCUGGAUAAAUUCAGACUUCAGGCCUCGAAGAUCGACCUAUCAGAGGCCGCUUUACUGUGCGGCGCCACCCUGAGUCAGCUGACCAAUGGGGUUGGCCUACCCGGAGACACCGGUACGUUAAAACUAUCAUUACACACAGAUUACACAGACGGGUUGAGAAAUAAAAGUUUGAUGUAAGGUUUAUGAUAAGCCACUGUGAGUUUGGAAGUUUAACUGACGGCUCUGUGUGAUGCAUUUGCAUGUGAAGGGGAGUCAGAUUUUCAUACCACUUUCCGUCACCUCCUCUAGCCAGUGGCUCAAAUUUUGUCAACCCGCCAAUGCCAUUUUUUAGCUGCACAAUCAAAUUCAAAACCGCCCAAUCUGGCAACACUGAAUACGAGUUUCUUUGCAUUUGCUGGAUUUAUUAGGUGUGGGUCAAAUGUUAAUAUUUGUUUAUUAAUACAUUUUAAUAAAUGUCUUUAACGUUUAUUUAUUUAUUUU
rnacentral:lncRNA from 1 species